rnacentral:tRNA from 2 species
GCGCCCGUAGCUCAGCUGGAUAGAGUGGCGGUUUCCGGUACCGUAGGUCGGAGGUUCGAAUCCUCUCGGGCGUACCA